CAGUUCGGAUUGGAGCUGCAACCCGACCUCCAUGAAGCUGGAUUCGCUAGUAAUCGCGCAUCAGCCACGGCGCGGUGAAUACGUUCCCGGGCCUUGUACACACCGCCCGUCAAGCCAUGGAAGCCGGGAGUGCCUGAAGUGCGUGACCGCAAGGAGCGUCCUAAGGCAAUACCGGUAACUGGGGCUAAGUCGUAACAAGGUAUC
rnacentral:rRNA from 1 species